rnacentral:rRNA from 1 species
GAUGAACGCUGGCGGCGUGCCUAAUACAUGCAAGUCGAGCGAACAGACGAGGAGCUUGCUCCUCUGACGUUAGCGGCGGACGGGUGAGUAACACGUGGAUAACCUACCUAUAAGACUGGGAUAACUUCGGGAAACCGGAGCUAAUACCGGAUAAUAUAUUGAACCGCAUGGUUCAAUAGUGAAAGACGGUUUUGCUGUCACUUAUAGAUGGAUCCGCGCCGCAUUAGCUAGUUGGUAAGGUAACGGCUUACCAAGGCAACGAUGCGUAGCCGACCUGAGAGGGGGUAGGGCCAACCUGGACCGGAAACAGGGACCAAGAUCUCAGGGGGGGCAGCAAAGGGGAAGUUUCCGAAAAGGGGGAAAGCAUGACGGAGGAACGCCGGGUGAGGGAAGAAGGGUUCAGGAUCGUAAAACUCUUUUAUGGGGGAAAAAAAAAUGUGUAGGUAACUAAGAAGGUUGGGAGGGAACCGAAAAAAAAAACCACGCGUAACUAGGG